AAAGAAGAGGAGAGCAGUAGAAUUGCUUCUGUGGUGUAGCUAGGUAAAAAUGUGACUGAUGCCUGUGCAGAAGUUUGGAAGGACACCGGAGAAAGCCAAGUAUUUGGCUAGGUUUAAACAGGAGGAGAUCAAAAUCCAAGGCCAUGGGAAAAUCAUGGAAAGGCGAAAACUGAAGCUGAAAUGAGGAAAUUUUAGGUUAAGGUGGAAAAGAAGAGGGCUCGCGCACAAGAGAAGCUUUAUGAACCAGCUUGCUGCUGCAAGACAUAAAUCCGAGCAAAAAGAAAUCGACAAGAUUCGAGGACCAAAAGGAAAGCUGAGUACAUCAAAGGAACCGGGCACAUCCACACCUCAUUUUCCUGCUAGGGUUGGUGCUAGCUCCUGAUCGUGUCUCAGCAAAGGAUGUCACAAGCCUGCGUAUGCUAAUCGUAAACAUUCUUUUUGUGCUUUAGCAAUCUUGUAAACUGACAUAACUUUCUAGGUGAGGUUUCUUCAGAUCUUUUUGUGCUGCUAGAUGCAGUUGUAGUUAGCUCAUCUUCAUGUAAACAUCUAUGAUGCUGUCCAUGAUCUUCUAUUAAUCUUCAAGGCAUGA